rnacentral:rRNA from 1 species
AACGAACGCUGGCGGCAGGCCUAACACAUGCAAGUCGAACGCCCCGCAAGGGGAGUGGCAGACGGGUGAGUAACGCGUGGGAAUCUUCCUGUUGGUGCGGAAUAGGUCAGGGAAAUUUGGGGUAAUACCGCGUACGCACGACAGGGGACAGAUUUAUCGCCGACAGAUGAGCCCGAGGCUGAUUAGCUAGUUGGUGAGGUAACGGGUCACCAAGGAGACGAUCAGUAGCUGGUCUGAGAGCGAUGAACAGCCACACUGGGACUCGAGACACGGCCCAGACUCCUACGGGAGGCAGCAGUGGGGAAUAUUGAACAAUGGGCGCAAGCCUGAUCCAGCCAUGCCGCGUGAGUGACGAAGGUCUUCGGAUUGUAAAGCUCUUUUGCCAGGGACGAUAAUGACGGUACCUGGAGAAUAAGCCCCGGCUAACUUCGUGCCAGCAGCCGCCGUAAUAC